AUGUGCAUAAAUAAAGGCUGUGGCGUGGUGGCUGGAGCAGCCAUGCUAUGGAAAUUUUGCAAUGGUCCAGGACUAGUGCUCCAGUUCAUGGACCCUAGGUCCUGUUGGCACCUGGGUGACAGUAUUGGAAAUGAGAGGAAAGUUAUGGUCUCAGAGGAACAGCUAUGGGAACUCUUGCGUCUGGGCCUGCAGAGCCCCUGCUCAGCUAGCAGUGGGAGGGAGGGAAGAAGCAGCAUUGCUAACCACGAUGACGUUGUGAUGUUUAAGAAAUAUAUUUCAAGAGGACCCCAUCUGAGAACACGGCGUGGACAGCUGAGGUUUAUGGAGUUGAGGACACCAACAAUAAAACAGGUUAAGUCAGCCCCCAGGCUCUUGUUUUCUGAGAUAAAUCACUCUCUUUCCUCCCAAAGCAAAAUGAAAGGGGCAAUUAUACCCUCGGUGAUUCUUAAUUGUCCCAAUUAACUAAGUCAGUUUCUGGAGUCUGAGCUGAAAAUGAAGCUUAGAAUGUGCCUUCAAUAAAUGGAAUUUGUUAAGUCA
rnacentral:lncRNA from 1 species